rnacentral:rRNA from 1 species
GACGAACGCUGGCGGCGCGCUUAACACAUGCAAGUCGAACGGAAAGGCCCUGCUUUUGUGGGGUGCUCGAGUGGCGAACGGGUGAGUAACACGUGAGUAACCUGCCCUUGACUUUGGGAUAACUUCAGGAAACUGGGGCUAAUACCGGAUAGGAGCUCCUGCUGCAUGGUGGGGGUUGGAAAGUUUCGGCGGUUGGGGAUGGACUCGCGGCUUAUCAGCUUGUUGGUGGGGUAGUGGCUUACCAAGGCUUUGACGGGUAGCCGGCCUGAGAGGGUGACCGGCCACAUUGCGACUGAGAUACGGCCCAGACUCCUACGGGAGGCAGCAGUGGGGAAUAUUGCACAAUGGGCGGAAGCCUGAUGCAGCAACGCCGCGUGCGGGAUGACGGCCUUCGGGUUGUAAACCGCUUUCGCCUGUGACGAAGCGUGAGUGACGGUAAUGGGUAAAGAAGCACCGGCUAACUACGUG